GACGAACGCUGGCGGCGUGCUUAACACAUGCAAGUCGAACGAUGAAGCCCAGCUUGCUGGGUGGAAGAGUGGCGAACGAGUGAGUAACACGUGAGUAACCUGCCCUGAACUCUGGGAUAAGCACUGGAAACGGUGUCUAAUACUGGAUACGACCUAUCACCGCAUGGUGUGUGGGUGGAAAGAUUUAUCGGUUCUGGAUGGACUCGCGGCCUAUCAGCUAGAUGGUGAGGUAAUGGCUCACCAUGGCGACGACGGGUAGCCGGCCUGAGAGGGUGACCGGCCACACUGGGACUGAGACACGGCCCAGACUCCUACGGGAGGCAGCAGUGGGGAAUAUUGCACAAUGGGCGCAAGCCUGAUGCAGCAACGCCGCGUGAGGGAUGACGGCCUUCGGGUUGUAAACCUCUUUUAGUAGGGAAGAAGCGAAAGUGACGGUACCUGCAGAAAAAGCACCGGCUAACUACGUG
rnacentral:rRNA from 1 species